rnacentral:tRNA from 1 species
AAUUAUGUAGAAGUAAAAAUUACAGCUAAUUUCGGCUUAGUUAAUAGAAUAAAAUUCUCGCAUUUU